GAGUUUGAUCCUGGCUCGGGAUGAACGCUAGCGGCAGGCUUAAUACAUGCAAGUCGAGCGGCAGCGCGGGGGCAACCCUGGCGGCGAGCGGCGAACGGGUGAGUAAUACAUCGGAACGUGUCCUAUCGUGGGGGAUAACCAGUCGAAAGACUGGCUAAUACCGCAUGAGGUCGAAAGAUGAAAGCGGGGGACCGCAAGGCCUCGCGCGAUUGGAGCGGCCGAUGUCGGAUUAGCUAGUUGGCGGGGUAAAAGCCCACCAAGGCGACGAUCCGUAGCUGGUUUGAGAGAACGACCAGCCACACUGGGACUGAGACACGGCCCAGACUCCUACGGGAGGCAGCAGUGGGGAAUUUUGGACAAUGGGGGCAACCCUGAUCCAGCCAUGCCGCGUGUGUGAAGAAGGCC
rnacentral:rRNA from 1 species